rnacentral:rRNA from 1 species
AUUGAACGCUGGCGGCAGGCCUAACACAUGCAAGUCGAACGAGUGGCGGACGGGAGAGUAAUGUCUGGGAAACUGCCCGAUGGAGGGGGAUAACUACUGGAAACGGUAGCUAAUACCGCCUACCAUCGGAUGAGCCCAGAUGGGUAUGGAGAGUAGGUGGGGUAACGGCUCACCUAGGAGACGAUCCCUAGCUGGUCUGAGAGGAUGAACAGCCACAAUGGAACUGCGACACGGUCCAGACACCUACGGGUGGCAGCGGUGGGGAAUAUUGCACAAUGGGCGCAAGCCUGAUGCAGCCAUGCCGCGUGUAGGAAGAAGGCCUUCGGGUUGGAAAGUACUUUCAGCGAGGAGGCGUUACUCGCAGAAGAAGCACCGGCUAACUCCGUGCCAGCAGCCGCGGUAAUAC